UACGUAGGGUGCGAGCGUUGUCCGGAAUUAUUGGGCGUAAAGAGCUUGUAGGCGGUUUGUCGCGUCUGCUGUGAAAUCUCAAGGCUCAACCUUGAGCUUGCAGUGGGUACGGGCAGACUAGAGUGUGGUAGGGGGAGACUGGAAUUCCUGGUGUAGCGGUGAAAUGCGUAGAUAUCUGGAGGAACACCGGUGGCGAAGGCGGCAUCCUGGACCGGUAUUGACGCUGAGUGAGCGAAAGCCAGGGGAGCAAACGGG
rnacentral:rRNA from 1 species